rnacentral:pre_miRNA from 1 species
UAAUAAUGUCCAUCGUAUCGUUUUAGAAUUCCUACGCUUUACCGUCGUGUCCGAAAUUUGGCAAAGCGUUUGGAUUCUGAAACGAUAUAUGGUCGGUAACAACAA